CACAUUGAAACACUAGUUCCUGUACGAUCAUCAAAGUUAAGCAUCGUCGAACCUGGACAGUACGUAGAUAGGUGACCGCUUGGGAAUACCAGGUCCUGUAA